GUCUUACUAUGAACAUUGUUCUUAUACUAUUGGUUAGGCUCAUGUAGAUUUGAUUUUUCAUUAGGUACUUGCAAUGUUGAUAUGCCUUAUCUGACAAAUGAUUAGCUUUAGAUUUUUUCUCUGAAAUAUGAAAUACUACUGGAAAUGUUGGAAAUCUAGUAUUUUAUCAUUUUGACUUGUGAGUUUUGGAUUAUACAUCUGCACAUUUUAUGUUUUAAUGGCUCUUAUACAAGGAACGAAAUAAGAAUGAGAAGGGAGAGAAUACAUAGAACUGUGUGUUUGGUUAUUAUAAAGUACAGUUAAAGCAUCUAUGUUUAGUUUUAAUUGUGUGUACCAUAAAGGGAAAUAAUAAAAAAAUGGGUCUUAAUUGAUGUAGUAAAAUCACUGCCUGAUUUCUUUUCUUUUCUUAUUUUUUUUAAGUUGUGUUGGGUUUGAUCAGCUACUAUGAACAACUCACAGAAAAUUCAAUUUGACCUAGAAAUAUAUGUUUUUUUUCUCUCUC
rnacentral:misc_RNA from 1 species